CCCUCGAUGGGGGCACAGCAAGUACUGUUGCGGGAAACAGCGAAGCCUACUUCCCAGGUAAAAAGUUAAGAGUAGACGAAGCCCGCGAAUCUAAACCGUGCCAACCCAAGCAAAUCCGCCUCACCGUUCCGUUUUGAUAUGCCUCGCGAACAUUUUAACUCCCCAUACCAAGCAAACAAAAUUUUAUCUCCAACACGACGGGGGGCCAAAGCUGGGACGCAGCAGAACCAAUUUUCCGCCCGGGAUCGCCGUUCUUUAGGGGGAAUACCAGCCGUAGUCGUAGCCGUAGCUGGUAAAAACCAAAGUAAGAACUCAUUAGAGAGAGAAAAAAAGGGCAAAAAUAAAGCAGCAAAAAGAGGUGAGGGAGUGGUAUACAGUACUGGCCGAUGAGACCCCUGCAGCCAUAGAAGACGCCUCCCGAGAGCUAACAGCCGAUCGUCAUCCGACACGUGGCGGAAUGUCAUGUCAUCCAUAAUGAUGAUGGGACGGCUAUAAAUACGGGCG
rnacentral:lncRNA from 1 species